rnacentral:rRNA from 1 species
UACGUAGGGGGCAAGCGUUGUCCGGAUUUAUUGGGCGUAAAGAGCGUGUAGGCGGCUUUACAGGUCCGUUGUGAAAACUCGAGGCUCAACCUCGAGACGCCGGUGGAAACCGUAAAGCUAGAGUCCGGAAGAGGAGAGUGGAAUUCCUGGUGUAGCGGUGAAAUGCGCAGAUAUCAGGAGGAACACCGGUGGCGAAGGCGGGUCUCUGGAACGGUACUGACGCUGAGACGCGAAAGCGUGGGGAGCGAACAGG